AGCGCAGGUGGUUUAUUAAGUCUGGUGUAAAAGGCAGUGGCUCAACCAUUGUAUGCAUUGGAAACUGGUAGACUUGAGUGCAGGAGAGGAGAGUGGAAUUCCAUGUGUAGCGGUGAAAUGCGUAGAUAUAUGGAAGAACACCAGUGGCGAAGGCGGCUGUCUGGUCUGUAACUGACGCUGAGGCUCGAAAGCAUGGGUAGCGAACA
rnacentral:rRNA from 1 species